rnacentral:rRNA from 1 species
AAACUCCUCUUAACGGCCGCGGCACUAAAACCGUGCAAAGGUAGCACAAUCACUUGUCCCUUAAAUGAGGACCCGUAUGAAAGGCAACAUGAGAGAAGACCUGUCUCCUGAGGCCAGCCAAUGAAAUUGAACUACCAGUACAAAAGCUGGUAUUUACAAGCAAGACAAAAAGACCCUAUGGAACUUUAACAAAUUAUUUAUAUGACAUUAAAUGAUAGUUUCAGUUGGGACAACCUUAGAGAAAAUUAACCUCUUAAUAACACACAGACCAACAAGUCUAACCGACUUCGACCCAGUCACACUGAUUAACGAAACAAGCUACCCUAGGGAUAACAGCGCUACCUUCUCAAAGAGUCCAUAUCAACAAGAAGAUCUACGACCUCGAUGUUGGAUCAGGGUACCCAGACGGUGCAGCAGCUGUCAACGGUUCGUUUGUUCAACGAUUAACACCC